rnacentral:sRNA from 1 species
AAGUUUAACACACUUAACCAACCCCGCUCAUGUGAGGUAGGUCCUCUUGUUGGAGUUUUAUGGUGACUGUGGUUGCUUAAGCUAGACAGAUCCCCUUCACCAAAGCGGGUUGCAUUACCCGACAAGUGUGCAACCCAAUUGGUACCUCUGAGUUUACUCUAGCGGGGGCGGUGGCUCAUCGCUUUAUUUGAACACACAUGCGCCUUUAUGUGCAUAUAUGAACGUCGUGGUUGUAAUCAUUCGAUUGGAACAAGCCACGUUAAAUAAGUACAGAGAGAUCUGUUACAGUAUACCCUAUUAUAGUAUACUCUACAAGUAACGUAGGUAAAGUAAAGUUAAGUAAAAACAGUACGUGUGCGGUGGUCGGCAAAAGCGCCGCUCUCUGGCUUUUAAACAUAAAUGCGACAGAGCCAGCUCCAAAAGUCGUCUUCAAAAAUCGUAUUCUUUGCUUUAAACCUUAUGAUUUACUUUUUUUGAAUUGGAAACACAGGGUACACUUUCUCCACGACGACAUU